CCCAGUCAGCCAGAGCUGCGCUGUCGUCGGAGAUCGCGAGGGCACAACCGGUCGGCACGAAAUCUACUCGUUUGGUUCCUUCGUGUCUUUCUUGUCUCUUUGUCGUCGUUCUGUUCUCGCGCUACAACUGUCGUCAUGUCAUACCAAAUAGGUCAAGCUGCCACACUUCGUUUGGUUCGUACGCGGCGUGCGCCGGGAACAUUUGUGCUGAAAUAAGCGACAUGAUCACUACUACCACCACUUUUUAUGCUCGGUGAGCGUGCAGCGUGGGUUAUCUCAUUCGCUUGCGGCCGGAGAUGCAGAAUGCGACGAUGCACGAGCCUUCUAACCGACAGAGUGUGAUUUAAAAUUACCUCCAAGACUUACAUAAUCAAGAAGACGCCUACUCCCACAGCUACCUGAAGUCGGACGAUGAGCUGAAGCUUUUUGAGAGGUCACUGGCUGCCAUCAAUGAGAGGUAUGCUGUUCGGACCUCAAGAGAUCUGACCAAGUCGUCCUAAUCCAAUGUGCCUUUUCCAUGAUUCAUUCCUGGUGUAGAAUCUUUCUGGACAAUGUGCCUUUUCGAGUUGUCAAGGAAACCGUCAAAGUCUGCAUAUUUUUAACGGAACACUAUAAGGAGAAUCCCCCCAAAUAAAGAAGGAUCCGGACUAAAGUGCCACUGAGUGGCGGAAGGAGACAUACGAGAAUACAAUAGUCAACAAGUACCAUUGACUGGCCGAAGGAUGAACACAAGAAAAAAAAAGUGAACCUACCUACAAGGCAUAAAGAAUAGGGUUCACACGAC